AAAUGUUGCCUGGAAUCACUCAACACAAGAAGAACCCUCUUUGCCUUGUUGCCAAGAUCUCUUCCGUAUAGAUGCAUCCCUAUGUAGCAACUCUUGGUUUGUUUCUUGCAUUAUAUGCCUCUUUGUUGGGACAAUGUUAUGAAAAAUAUGAAAACAAUUAUGUUUACAGUGAGUAAUUAACAAUUACCAAGUUAAUGUUGGAACUUAAUUAAAUGAUGAACACACACAUAAUUGAG
rnacentral:lncRNA from 1 species